rnacentral:misc_RNA from 1 species
GAACGCACCUUGCGCCCCUUGGUAUUCCGAGGGGCACACCCGUUUGAGUGUCGUGAAAAUCUCAACCUUCUCGGUUUCUUCUGGAAACCAAAGGAGGCUUGGACUUUGGAGGCCUUUGCUGGCGUCUCUCUCUUUUGAGAGCCCAGCUCCUCUUAAAUGAAUUAGCGGGGUCCUCUUUGCUGGUCCUCGACAUGUGAUAAGAUGUUUCCAUGUCUUGGUUUCUGGCUCUGUUGCUUUUGGGACCCGCUUCUAACCGUCUCUAUGAGACAACGUUUGAGCACGUCUCCCGACGCUCUCAACCUCACGAACCCUUGACCUCAAAUCGGGUGAGACUACCCGCUGAACUUAAG